GAUGAACGCUGGCGGCGUGCCUAAUACAUGCAAGUCGAGCGAAUGGAUUAAGAGCCUGCUCUUAUGAAGUUAGCGGCGGACGGGUGAGUAACACGUGGGUAACCUGCCCAUAAGACUGGGAUAACUCCGGGAAACCGGGGCUAAUACCGGAUAACAUUUUGAACCGCAUGGUUCGAAAUUGAAAGGCGGCUUCGGCUGUCACUUAUGGAUGGACCCGCGUCGCAUUAGCUAGUUGGUGAGGUAACGGCUCACCAAGGCAACGAUGCGUAGCCGACCUGAGAGGGUGAUCGGCCACACUGGGAUUGAGACACGGCCCAGACUCCUACGGGAGGCAGCAGUAGGGAAUCUUCCGCAAUGGACGAAAGUCUGACGGAGCAACGCCGCGUGAGUGAUGAAGGCUUUCGGGUCGUAAAACUCUGUUGUUAGGGAAGAACAAGUGCUAGUUGAAUAAGCUGGCACCUUGACGGUACCUAACCAGAAAGCCACGGCUAACUACGUGCCAGCAGCCGCCGUAA
rnacentral:rRNA from 1 species